ACAUGCAGUCGCGGGCGAAGUAGCAAUACGAGUAGACCGGCGCAAGGGUGAGUAAUGCAUUCCUAACGUACCCCGAGGUCCGGGAUAGCACUGGGAAACUGGUGGUAAUACCGGAUGACCCCGUAGAGUCGUAUGGCUCCGCGGGCAAAGCUCCGGCACCUCGGGAGCGGGGAAUGUCCUAUCAGCUAGUUGGUGAGGUAACGGCUCACCAAGGCUUAGACGGGUAGCCGGUGUGAGAGCACGACCGGCCACAUCGGGACUGAGACACUGCCCGGACUCCUACGGGAGGCUGCAGUGACGAAUAUUCCGCAAUGGGCGAAAGCCUGACGGAGUGACGCCGCGUGUGGGACGAAGCCCUUCGGGGUGUAAACCACUGUCAGGGAUUAGGAACGCAAUGACCAUUCCCAGAGGAAGGGGCGACUAACUCUGUGCCAGCAGUCGCGGUAAUUCAGAGGCCCCGAGCGUUAAUCGGAGUUACUGCGCUUAAAGGGUGCGUAGGCUGGCCCGCAAGUGCUUUGUGAAAUCCCACGGCUCAACCGUGGAAUAGCUUGGCAUACUGCGGGUCUUGAGGUCGGUAGAGGUCGCUGGAACUGUAGGUGUAGCGGUGAAAUGCGUAGAUAUCUACAGGAACGCCAAAGGUGAAGACAAGCGACUGGGCCGAUUCUGACGCUGAGGCACGAAAGCGUGGGGAGCAAACGGGAUUAGAUACCCCGGUAGUCCACGCCCUAAACGAUGUGUACUGAAUCCAGGUGGGUUUGACCCCGUCUGGGUUGGAGCAAAAGUGUUAAGUACACCGCCUGGGGAGUACGGUCGCAAGGCUAAAACUCAAAGGAAUUGACGGGGACUCACACAAGCGGUGGAACAUGUGGCUUAAUUCGAAGCAACGCGAAGAACCUUAUCCAGGGUUUGACAUGCUUGGAUUAGCUCCCUGAAAGGGGAGUAACACCCGCAAGGGCGGAACAAGCACAGGUGCUGCAUGGCUGUCGUCAGCUCGUGCUGUGAAGUGUCGCGUUAAGUCGCUUAACGAGCGAAACCCCUGUCGUUAGUUGCUAAGGCGCAAGCUAGGACUCUAACGAGACUGCCGGUGUCAAACCGGAGGAAGGUGGGGAUGACGUCAAGUCCUCAUGGCCUUUAUGCCCUGGGCUGCACACGUGUUACAAUGGCGCUUACAGAGCGACGCAAUACCGUAAGGUGGAGCAAAUCGCAAAAAAAGCGCCCCAGUUCAGAUUGAGGUCUGCAACCCGACCUCAUGAAGCCGGAAUCGCUAGUAAUCGCGCAUCAGCUACGGCGCGGUGAAUGUGUUCCUGAGUCUUGUACACACCGCCCGUCAAGCCAUGGGAGCCGGAAAUACCCGAAGUCGCCUCGUCACAGAGGUGCCCACG
rnacentral:rRNA from 1 species